GCUCUUCUAGUAUACUAAUUACAAUCGACUUCCAAUCCUUAAAAUCUGGUGCAACCCCGGAGAAGAGCA
rnacentral:tRNA from 1 species